rnacentral:rRNA from 1 species
AACGGACGCUGGCGGCGUGCCUAACACAUGCAAGUCGUGCGAGAAAGUUCCUUCGGGAGCGAGUAAAGCGGCGCACGGGUGAGUAACACGUAGGUAACCUGCCCCCCAGUCUGGAACAACUAGAGGAAACUCUAGCUAAUGCCGGAUGAGACCACGAUCCCCUUCGGGGGUUGCGGCCAAAGAUGGCCUCUACUUGUAAGCUAUCGCUGAGGGAUGGGCCUGCGGGCCAUUAGCUUGUUGGUGAGGUAACGGCUCACCAAGGCUGUGAUGGCUAGCUGGUCUGAGAGGAUGACCAGCCACACUGGGACUGAGACACGGCCCAGGACUCCUACGGGAGGCAGCAGUGGGGAAUAUUGCGCAAUGGGCGAAAGCCUGACGCAGCGACGCCGCGUGGGUGA